UACAGAGGGUGCAAGCGUUAAUCGGAAUUACUGGGCGUAAAGGGUGCGUAGGUGGUUUUUUAAGUCAGAUGUGAAAAUCCUGGGCUUAACCUGGGACCUGCAUUUGAAACUGGAGAGCUAGAGUUUGGAAGAGGGAGGUGGAAUUCCACGUGUAGCAGUGAAAUGCGUAGAGAUGUGGAGGAACACCGAUGGCGAAGGCAGCCUCCUGGGCCAGUACUGACGCUCAUGCACGAAAGCGUGGGGAGCAAACAGG
rnacentral:rRNA from 1 species